CCUACGGGAGGCAGCAGCAAGGAAUAUUGGUCAAUGGACGGAAGUCUGAACCAGCCAUGCCGCGUGAAGGAUGAAGGUCCUCUGGAUUGUAAACUUCUUUUAUGUGGGAAGAAACCACUCUUAUCUAAGGGUGUUGACGGUACCAUAGGAAUAAGCACCGGCUAACUCCGUGCCAGCAGCCGCGGUAAUACGGAGGGUGCAAGCGUUAUCCGGAUUCACUGGGUUUAAAGGGUGCGUAGGCGGAUUAGUAAGUCCGUGGUGAAAUCUCCAAGCUUAACUUGGAAACUGCCGUGGAUACUAUUAGUCUUGAAUGUUGUGGAGGUUAGCGGAAUAUGUCAUGUAGCGGUGAAAUGCAUAGAUAUGACAUAGAACACCAAUUGCGAAGGCAGCUGGCUACACAAAUAUUGACGCUGAUGCACGAAAGCGUGGGGAUCAAACAGGAUUAGAUACCCUGGUAGUCCACGCCCUAAACGAUGAUUACUCGACAUUUGCGAUAUACAGUAAGUGUCUGAGCGAAAGCAUUAAGUAAUCNACCUGGGAAGUACGACCNCAAGGUGGAAACUCAAAUGAAUUGACGG
rnacentral:rRNA from 1 species